rnacentral:lncRNA from 1 species
GUAGAUGAAUUAGUUUGGAUUUCUUAUUGUUUUGUUUAGAGAAAAAUGUUUAUUUGAAGCAUAUUUUCAGUGAAAAAAUGUUUCUUGUCUAUUCUGGCUUAGGAUAUGCUGACACAAAUCCCUCACCCUACCAGUCCUUGCCUCAGCUUUUGUUGUUUCGUGCAUCACUGAACUGUUGUGCUUCUGUUAUGAAACAUAACAACCAGACUGAAUUCCUCAGCCAGCAGGAACCUGCAGAGGCUUUGCAUCCUUGCUGGUACACUUGGCCCUGAGAAAAGAUUCACCAAAGGAGGCAGAAGCCAAGGAACAAUGAGAGCGUAAAACUCUACCAGGGCAUACUCCAGUGUAUAAAAUGGGUUUUCCUUCCACACGUAAGAACUUGGCAGUGUGUAGCAAGUUGAACUGGCUUUGGAAAGUACAACAGGUCUGAAAACAAACUCCUUCUUCGUACCCCAAUUCUUACUACUGGUUACAUGAGGUCGAACCGUGUAAUAUUGCUAUCUUUUAAUUAAAAAAUAGUCAAAUACAAGCAAUUGCAGAGUAUCUACAUUAGACUGAGUGGAAUCAUUCAACAGAGACUUUUGCCAUUAAUAGAUCGAUGAAUUCUUCCCAGGGUUUAAUGUAGUGCCUUGAUCUGUCUUCCAAUACGUAACCCAUUACAAUGAGAGUCCUCUACUAUUUCACACUCCUCACCCCUAAGCAGAGCAGCCUGAAGGCGGGUGAGCCCAGUAACCACUCCUCUUAUACACUGUACAUGUUCAGAGCCUGAGGACACCUUUAUCACAAUCACAUUAUACCCUAUCCAAGUUUUAUUCACAUCACACUCUAUGCCAUCUCUGUCUUUUGUGUUUUGAAUUAGGAAAAUAAAUC